AGUGAACGCUGGCGGUAGGCCUAACACAUGCAAGUCGAACGGCAGCACAGAGGAGCUUGCUCCUUGGGUGGCGAGUGGCGGACGGGUGAGGAAUACAUCGGAAUCUACUUUUUCGUGGGGGAUAACGUAGGGAAACUUACGCUAAUACCGCAUACGACCUACGGGUGAAAGCAGGGGAUCUUCGGACCUUGCGCGAUUGAAUGAGCCGAUGUCGGAUUAGCUAGUUGGCGGGGUAAAGGCCCACCAAGGCGACGAUCCGUAGCUGGUCUGAGAGGAUGAUGAGCCACACUGGAACUGAGACACGGUCCAGACUCCUACGGGAGGCAGCAGUGGGGAAUAUUGGACAAUGGGCGCAAGCCUGAUCCAGCCAUACCGCGUGGGUGAAGAAGGCCUUCGGGUUGUAAAGCCCUUUUGUUGGGAAAGAAAUCCAGCUGGUUAAUACCCGGUUGGGAUGACGGUACCCAAAGAAUAAGCACCGGCUAACUUCGUGCCAGCCGCCGCGGUAA
rnacentral:rRNA from 1 species